UGAGAAGCUGGAUGGAAAAACUAAAAGACAAGGCUGGCUACAUGUCUGGGAUGCUGGUUCCUGUAGGGGUUGGGAUAGCUGGAGCCUUGUUCAUCUUGGGAGCACUGUACAGCAUUAAGGUUAUGAAUCGGCGAAGGAGAAACGGCUUCAAAAGGCAUAAAAGAAAGCAGAGAGAAUUCAACAGCAUGCAAGAUCGAGUAAUGCUCUUAGCCGACAGCUCUGAAGAUGAAUUUUGAAUUGGAUGGGAGUUUAAUUGGGAUAUUCGACUGUGUUAUCGUUUUAUUUUUUAUUUUGGGGCAAAAAAAAGAACAGUAUCCUGCAACAUCACUACGGUCAGGCCAUCAGUCUUACUAUCUUCUGGGCAGUAGAUUUUUCUUGUACUGAGCUGAAAAGGCAUGCUGUAUACUUAAUGUAAUAGUCAGUGUUUGUUUUUCUUCUGUAGUGAAUUUCCCACAACCGUAGGCUACAACUCAUCAAUAUGCAACGUUCAUGUUGCUCACCAGGAGUUGCUAGAGAUGUAAGCAAAUGUGUGAAGUUGGUCAAGAAAAUGAGAAGCUCAAAUACAGUUAGAGGUUAACAAUUGACAAAUAAGCUCAAAGUCGGGUUUCAAAAAUAAAAUUCAGAGUCAUGACACUCAUAAGUAAUUUGUAAUUUCAAGAGCAGAGACAUCCUGAUACUGCAUAGGGUAUGUUUGUCUUUUCUAAGAGCAGCCCCUUGCUAUAAGGGUUCCUAAGGUUAGGAGGAGGCUGGGCAUGAUUGUUUUCUUAACAAGCUAUUUAUAGUGAACACACAAUAAACCAUUUCAUUCAGCAAUACCUGGGCAAUGCUAAUGGCUAUCAAUGCCUCAGGCUACUCUUAAUCUGUAGUUUUCACUAGACCAUGGCUAAUAGGUUGAACUUUCAAACUGUAGAAUAAUAAGGUCACAAAUAACAGACACAUAUUUUCAUUUUUUCCAGAAGGCCAUGGGGAUGAUAUGUGUGUGCAUUUAGGCUAAGCAGAAAUGUCUCCGCAGGCCUUUUUUGGGAAGGUGACUGUUAAAGAUGACUUAGAUCACAGUAGAUUUCUGUAUGAACCCAUUUCACCACCUGGGUUGUGUGGAAGGUUCUGUAGAUGGCUCAACUGCUGUGCUUAUCUUGGCCACUUUCCUCACUGUCAGUGGCUGUGGCACAAUGAUGUUGAGUAGUUAGCUGAAAUUACUGAGAGGUUGUUUAUCAGAAUUUUCAGAAAAGGUUGUCUUGUUCUAAACAAAACCCGAGAUCGGGGUGUUGCCACCAGAGGGGGUGCUGGCUAGUGGUUAUACUAUAGUCCAGAUUAAAAGUAGUAAAUCAGGCAUUGAUAGGUUUACCUAACAUAAGUGAUUGAUAUGCUCAUAUUUGCACAUUAAAAAUAAAAAGGCAAAUCUUUAUUCUAACAACGAACCUUAAAACAUUUAGCAACAAAAUAAAUAAAGCUGUCUGGUGGGGGGUGUGUGAUAGCUGCAAGUUUCAGUUGCUAACAUCUUCCCCUCUGAGCUGUAUUCAUCUUCUCAGAACUGCAGCUGUCCCACUGCAGGGGCAGGGAUUGUAUCUUAUUCUCAGAAGGAGAGGCAGUGUUUCCCAAACUCUGGCUCCUAGGAAUCACCUGGGAGAUGUGUUCAACACAACAGAUUCCAAGGCCCUGCCCCAGACCCAUUGAAUCAGUAUCUCCAAGGGAGGAGUUUGGGACUCUUGUACCCAGGCAAGUUAGAGAAUAGAGUUAGGAGGGCAUCUAUCCAGAGAACAGCUUCCUUAGUAAAGAGAUGAGGGAGAGCAGGUCCCAUGGGGAAGAAACGCCCUAGUCAGCUAUCCAAUAAAUCACACCUGCCGUUGUGGAGAAUGGAAAACAAAAGGAAAGAGAAAAGGGUAGAAGCUUCUAGAAUGAAUAGAAUGAUGGGUCAGAGAGAAAAGGUCUCCUCCUAUGUCCCUGAUGUCUUUUUCUCUAAUCAGAAGGUAGUACUUUUCUUUUACACCUCUUCAGAUUUUCCUCGCCCAUUAGCUGCUUCUUUCAGUAGCUGCUAGUUUAAUUUAUAUGCAAUAUUUGGAGUUAAUUAGUAUCCCAGGGAAACAGAUUCCCUUAGCAAUGCUUUAGCCCUGGCUUCAGCUCAUAAACUGCCUCAGAUACAGUCUUCCAGAAACAUUUUCUUCAAGUACCUGUAUCUCUUACAUAGGUCAAUAAUGUUGUGGGGAAAUUGUUAAAGCACAGUUUUAGGACAUAUUUAAAGUAGUUUUAGCUUGGUCAGUCACAGCCGAUUCUUUAUUUCAUUAUUAUUUUUUUUUUAAAGCUAAGACUUAAAAGUCAAAUGUUACAGAGACAUCAGAAAAUAAUAUAGAGCCAUAUAGAACAUUCUGAAUGCCUGGUGCUUUUCUCCACGUUCCUCCAGAUAUCUCUUUCAUGUGGAAGUCCAAGUGAAAUAUCCAAUUUCUGUGGAUAUGAAUAAUCAAUGUUUCUACCAGCUGCCAAAAAAGUAACUUUUGGGAAUAAGAUAUAUCAUGUAGCUGAAGUUUAUAGCUAUGUGCCCUUUUGGCAAGGUAGGCUUUGUUAUGAUUACAGGGAAAUCUGUGAAAGAAAUCUCUACUUUUAAGGGUAUGUGAAUGUAUGGUGACAAGGAAAGAAGUGUGGGUAGAAGAAGAUGCAAGAAAAGUCACGAUGCAAUGGAAACGUAAACAUGGCACAAAACACUGGAAUGUGCUAGAGGAGGCCAAAGCUCCAUCAAAUGGACGGAUGCUUGGAAAAAUGAUACAGACAAGUAAGGAGAAAAAGGCAAGUGAGUUAGGCCAUUGGCAGGGGAAGGUGCUAUAAAUCUAAAUUUGCUUCCAUCGUUUCCAUCAAAGAAAAUUAUCCUACACUAGGUAGAAAGGACGUGAGUGGGAGGGAAUUGAAACCCAAGAUCAGUGAGGAGACAAAAGGAGCUUGGUUACUUUAAGUAAUCUCAGUUAAAUAUCUUUCUUAAUUAAACAAAGUUCAAAUAAUUGUAUAUAAAUCUAUAGGAAUAGGAAACAAUUUGAAAGCAAAAUAAUGGUGUUGACCAAAUAAAAGCCCCUUAUUUGUAUGUUUAGCAUCCCCCGUAGGACACAGACCUUUUUGGGAUCUAUUUACUCCAUAAUUACCAAUUUUGGCAGUCAAAAAUAGCUGGAAACAUAAUUCUGUCACUUAAGUUCUACAUUCAGCAAAAAUAAUCUGCAUUUAUUUUGUAAGCCACUGUUAGCUAUACAAAUGCAUUGGGAUUACCCUAUUUUGGGUAAUUGAUACAUCUAACUCGCUGUUAAUUAGCCUAAAUUAUUAUGUGUAUAUAGGAUAAAGGAGAGGAAAGAAAGGAGGAAGAAAGAAAGAAAAAAGAAAGACAUUUCCUCCAGAUAACAGCAGCCAAAGUGCAAAGAAACAAAUCCUAUACUCCUCUCUUCUAGUAUGCCUAAAUACAGAAAACAAUAUUGGGGUAAAAAAAAACACACACACACACACAAACUCUCAAAUCUUCCAUUUAGUGAAGCAAAGGUCUUACUUUCCAUUCUCAAGAAGCAACAGGAACAAUAAUACAAAUAAUAACCAUUAAUAAUUUGUAAUAUGGACUAGUAUACAUUCUUACCCUAAGACAUCAGUCUCCAGAUCUGAAGUUUAAGACUGAUUUUGUUGAGAGGUGUAACCUUUUGUGGGAUAACGAUGGAGGAACUGAGGAGAAUUAACUACUGGGAGAAAAACCCAAUUUUUCCCUUCAAUGCUUAUAGAUAUGGGAACAGAGUACAAACAGAAUGGAAGGCGAAUGGGUGCUCACUUGGCUUCUUUUAUUACCUCUGAGGCUGGGAGGUCACUUGCUCUGGUCUUAAAAGACUGAACCUGGUAUCAGGUUAGGACACGGGGGUUUAUAUAUUAACCAAUGUACUGUACAUCUCCAUGUUUUCUUUCUAAUUCACAGUGUAAGAAAGGAUGGAACCAAUAGCAUUUGAAACAUUUCUCCAAUUUUAUGCCUCACAGAGUUUGUGUACUUUCAGGGGUCUUCAUGAUCAGACAGACCAAAAUAUACACUUAGGAAAGUAUAAAUCCAGUCUUCCAAAAAAAAGAAAGAUGUUUGGAUACAAGAUGCUUCAAGCCUUUCUCUUCCAAAAAAGAAUUUUGGCACAAAAUCUCCAAUGAUCAGUUUCUCUCAUUUGCUUCUUUGUGUAAGAGAUAAGGAGAGGAAAUCUGAAAUGGUUCUGUAGUUGGACAAAUCAAAUCCCAAAAGUCAAGGGACAGAGUGUGGUUAGAGAUUGAGUAAAUGGGCCAUUUUAUCACAGGGGCAGGAUGGGACCCCUCCAAGAAAGGAGCAUCUAACCCUGCCAAGAUUGGGGAUGUUUCUCCAGAGCUGGUAGCAUCAAACCUGAAACCAGAGGGAUGAGUCAGGGUUAGUCAGGUGAAGAGGGGGAUGGGAUGGGUCUUCCAGCCAGGGGAACCUCAUGUGCAGAAGCCAGCAGUGAGAGAUCAUGGAAAAUUCAGCAGGGAGAGAUCAAGGAGUUAGUAUGGCUGGAGUGCGGGAUAUACUGGGGAGGUGAGGGUUGGGGUUGGGGUCAGGGGUGGAAAAUGGCAAUGAGAAAUAGGCGGCUGAUCCUAAAGAGUCUGCUAGGUCAUGUCAAGGAAUUAGGACUUCAUUUUGAGGGCAUUCCUAGAUGUCAUGGAAAGAUCUUAUGCUGAGAAGUGUUAAGAUCAGGGCUGAGUUCAUGGAUUGGCAAAGUUAGAGUUGGGGACACCAGUCAGGGGCUGGUGCAGCAAUGCAGGUGAGAGGUGACUGUGGCCUGGACCAAGGCUGCGGGAGUGAAUGGAAGGGAAGGAUGGUUCCAGGAGGGGUUUAGGGCAGGGAAACAGGACUCAGGGGUUGGCUAGAAGUGCAGAUGGGGGAAAAGACAGUGGUUAAAGCUGACCAGGGUCAUGACACUUUUGAGGCUCUCCAGAUAUUGUGGAGUCUAGUGUCCUGGCUUCUGAAGGACUGACUAUGUUAUUCCAGCACAGCUCACCUGAAAAAAACAAAAACAAACAAACAAAAAAAAACCUUACAUGUCUGCCAGAAAUGUGUAGGCAACUUUAACUUUCUACAUAAUGUAUAUGAGUUUGUGUUCAUUCUCUGUAACUUAAUAGUAGGUUCCAAAGAAAAACUUUAAAUUUAAUAAAACUUAAAUGGAACAUCUGGCGAAAACCCUCCAAAUACCGUUAAAUGAUUAUAUGACUUUGGUUGAGCCCAGGUAUGAAUUACUAUCUGAGCUCUGAUUGCCUCUCUCACUUUGAAAAGACUGGUAAGUUUCUUAUUUUUUCGAUGAGAACCAAAGCUCUGGAUCUUGUGGGGUUUUUGGGGUCCUUUUUUUGUUGUUGUUAUUUGUAAGAACCAACUUGAUACAUUGUAUGUCUAUAGGAUUACUUUCUCAUUUCUUUUUCAGUUUUAUUGAGAGAGUUGGCAUACAGCUCUGUGUGAGUUUAAGAUGUAUACCGUGUAGGGGCGCCUGGGUGGCGCAGUCGGUUAAGCGUCCGACUU